rnacentral:rRNA from 1 species
GACGAACGCUGGCGGCGUGCCUAAUACAUGCAAGUCGAGCGAAUCAAUAGGAGCUUGCUCCUGUUGAUUAGCGGCGGACGGGUGAGUAACACGUGGGCAACCUGCCUGUAAGACUGGGAUAACUUCGGGAAACCGGAGCUAAUACCGGAUAAUCCUUUUCCUCUCAUGAGGAAAAGCUGAAAGUCGGUUUCGGCUGACACUUACAGAUGGGCCCGCGGCGCAUUAGCUAGUUGGUGAGGUAACGGCUCACCAAGGCGACAAUGCGUAGCCGACCUGAGAGGGUGAUCGGCCACACUGGGACUGAGACACGGCCCAGACUCCUACGGGAGGCAGCAGUAGGGAAUCUGCCGCAAUGGACGAAAGUCUGACGGAGCAACGCCGCGUGAGCGAUGAAGGCCUUCGGGUCGUAAAGCUCUGUUGUUAGGGAAGAACAAGUAUCGGAGUAACUGCCGGUACCUUGACGGUACCUAACCAGAAAGCCACGGCUAACUACGUGCCAGCAGCCGCAGUAA